CCCCCACAUUUGUGACAGGUUUUAAGACUAAAAAGGAGACUCUACCAUAUUAUGAAAACAUAAUUCGUCAGAAUGCGAAAAAUUUAACCGUUUAUGUGAUCGUGAUAAUUCAACGGGCGUACUGCUGUUUAUUCGGCUGCGCGUGCCUCGGCCACCAGGGAGCAGUAUAAUACAAACAGACAUGCGACACAGAAAUUUUACGAUGAAGCAGAGAAGAAAACGAUUUUAACUAAACUGCAAUAAUGGGAGUCGUCAAAGAAUAAAUCCCUGUUGUUGGCCGGAUAUUUGAAGCGUCGCACUCCCUCUCAGCCACUUGCCGUCCUUAAAUGUCAAAUAAGUGUGAAGAGGAGCCCUGUGGGUAACUUGAGGAACAAGGAAAAUCUGGAAAAACUUGAGCAGACACGAGAAGGAAGCCGUCAGCCGUCAGGAGGAGGAAGGAGGAAGGGCGGAGGAAGAGGAAGCUGCCAGUUACCCGGCCAUCAAACGGCGCUGCAGUGCCAGGAAGCGCCGUCCCCGAUAGCCUCCCUUCCUGUGGAGUUGUGACCCUCUGGUCAAUGUGCAAAAUCUCUUCGCUGUAAGGCAUCCCUGGACCCAAAGUUUAAGAAAUCCCCGCUCAACAUGACCGUCACGUUCCUUUUAAAGCGGUCUCUGCGUCUGUCGUCACCAGAUCGCCGCAACUAAACACACUCAUAUGCCAUCUGCUGUUUUCGUUUCCACUGUUGUUGUGUUUCAUGCGACGCACAUGCACACACAACCCCCCCAUUCAAACAUUCUCCAGAGCUUUGGGCCUGUCAACCAUUUGUGUGAUGUGGUGUUCAGCAGGGCUAACGUGCCGUCCGGGGCUCAUGGCUUUGGUUCAAAGUGUGCGGGCUUUCCAGCCCCCGGGCGCUAAUUUUCUGGGAUUUUUGUUUUGUUUGUGUCGCGCACAGUCGUUUGCCUGGCGAUGAAUCAAUUUUUAAAGUGACAGCAGCACAGUCUAUCCGACGGGAUCAUAGCGCAUGACGGAGUGAGCGCGUCUUAUCCCAGUCCGCCGCGUCUUCUUCUAUAGACUUGAUGCCGUCACAACUGCAGUGGAAAAAAAAAAAAAAAAACCUUUGCCAAAAAUGCAUCCCAAGUGCUUUCAAUUACCUCAGUGCAGGGAUGUUCUGAAAUGAAAUAUUUAUAGAGCUCAUAAAAUGAGGAGAGCAGAUAAAAAUAUGUCCGUGGGUUUGUCGUAAACGUCAGAUGGUUGUCGUUGCGUUUUGAUGACUAAUCCUCCAUGCCAAUUUUUUUUUUUUUUUUUAAACCAGGUCUGACAUAAGGUGGAAGAUCCCAAAUGUCCGUACAUGUUUCGCAUUGGUCAUUGCCGCUUUUGUUACCAUUUGUCCAUGAGCCGAGAAACCCGCUGACAUUUAAUUUUUUUUUUUUUUUUUUUUUUUAAGCACAGCAUCCAUA